AAGUAGAGCUACACAUGAGCAACGGACAGCGACGUUGAAGAGAACAGUUUUAAUCAACAUCGAGUGAGCAGAGCGUUGAAGAUUCUUCCUGGUGAUCUGCUGCCCAUCAUCAACAGUGUUGGGGACUUCUGUGUUCCUUCUUCUUACCUCCUGCUAUAACAACCAUUCUCCAUUCCACAAACAUAGCUGUUGUCUCUACUCAUUUGUCAAUAUGUGUACAGAAAUCAAGUGCCAAGAGGGUGUCAGGUGGCUGAGCGGUUAGAGAAUCGGGCUAGUAAUCAGAAGGUUGCUGGUUCGAUUCCCGGCCGUGUCUAAUGACGUUGUGUCGUUGGGCAAGGCACUUCACCCUACUUGCCUCGGGGGAAUGUCCCUGUACUUACUGUAAGUCGCUCUGGAUAAGAGCGUCUGCUAAAUGUAAAUGUGUGGGUUUUCAUUCAAACAACCACUAUACCAGCUGAUUUUACAAUCGAGUUGCUGCUCUUUAUUAAACGGGAGCCACAAAGUGAAAUCAGAUGGUGUAGUGCUUGGUUACGUAAAUGUUUUACAAAGUUAUGUAAAUGUUUUGUUAGCACGGUAGGCAAUUUGGUGACAACCUGGCUGGUGUGUCACUGACUAUCCAAUGUUAUCAAUCCAUAUAGCCUCUCUAUUAUAAUUGCACAUCCUCAUUACAAUUUCCAGAGGGCUCAUCUCAUAAGCUCCGCUAAGGAUAUCCCUCCUGGAAAAUGCACAUUCAUGUUUGUUAGUUCAGACUGUCAAUAAAUCUGCCAUCUUACAAGUUUAAUGCAGUUGACUGGCUUGAUAUUGCACAGGUUUUGCAUCCCUUAUGUAAGAGCCAUUUUCAUUUGUUUAUAUAUAUCGCAUCAAUUUGCACACACCGCAACACUCAUGGGAAUGUAAAAAUGUUUGUUGAUGGAGCUUCAUGGACACAUGGACUUGCAUGUUCAAUGGAAGAACAUUGUGAUCAAUAAAGGGCCAUCAAAACACAA